CCCCUUAGAGUUUGAUCAUGGCUCAGAAUGAACGUUGGCGGCGUGGAUUAGGCAUGCGAGUCGUACAAGAACCCGCAAGGGGGAAAGUGGCGAACGGGGUAGUAAUGCGUAGGUGACGUGCCCUGCGGUCGGGGAUAGCUUAGGGAAACUUAAGGUAAUACCCGAUGACACCAUGAGGUUUGAAUACCAUAUGGUCAAAGGUGUGAUUCCACCACAGGAGCGGCUUGCGUGGUAUUAGCUAGUUGGUGAGGUAACGGCUCACCAAGGCAACGAUGCCUAGGGGAUGUUAGCGCAUGAUCCCCACCACUGGGACUGAGAUACUGCCCAGACACCUACGGGUGGCUGCAGUCAAGAAUCUUCGGCAAUGGACGCAAGUCUGACCGAGCGACGCCGCGUGUGGGAUGAAGGCCUUCGGGUUGUAAACCACUGUCAGAGGGGGAUGAAGUGUACGAGAGUUAUCUCUUGUAUUUGACAGAGCCUCAGAGGAAGCACGGGCUUAGUUCGUGCCAGCAGCCGCGGUAAUACGAACUGUGCGAACGUUAUUCGGAAUCACUGGGCUUAAAGGGUGCGUAGGCGGUUAUAUAAGACAGAUGUGAAAUCCCCCGGGCUCAACCUGGGAACUGCUUUUGUGACUGUAUAGCUAGAGUACGGAGAGAGGGGGAUUGGAAUCUCCCCCGUGGUAGCAGUGAAAUGCGUAAAUUAUGCGGAAGGAACCACCGAUUGGCGAAGGCCAUUCCCCUUGGGCCUGGUACUGACGCUCAUGCACGAAAGCGGUGGGGGAAGCAAACAAGGAUUAGAUACCCUGGUAGUCCACGCCCUAAACGAUGUCCAACUGUGGUGUGUUGGGGUCUUUCACUGACUCAAGUAACGAAGCCUAAACGGCGUGAAGUUCGACCCGCGCUGGGAGGAGUACCGGCCGGCAAGGAUCGAACUCAGAGUAAGUCGACGGCACGCCAGCGGGUGAAAUGAUGUGUUUAAUUCGAAGCCAA
rnacentral:rRNA from 1 species